ensembl:lncRNA
AAAAGACAACAGUUGUUUAUAGACUCUCUGUGGUACUUGACUGAUUCUGUUGCUUCUCUAACUCUAUAUAUUACAGUAUAUAUAGACUUUUAUGGAUGGUUAAUCAGAGUAAAGUACUGAACCAAAGUGUUGUUUUAUUCAUAAUGAAAAUUAUAUCACCACUGUUUCUCAGACUUCUUUAGACUCCUUUCAUAAACUCAAACUGUUUGCAGACUCCAACCACCAGAGGCAGGAAAUAACCUAACAGCAUGUAUACUCAUGGAAUAAAGUCUCUUACUUCAAUUUAACCAACACAGUAAGACUGAUGUUCUUCUGAAAUGUGACUGUUUUCACUUUGUUCAUGAUUCAUUUUCUGAAUACAGUAGACCUUAAAGACAGUAACCGAGAAAACAAUAAUAAAUUGCUAAGCUUAAAGUAAUUUUAUCUUUCAAUUUUUGCAGGAAACAUCGUUUCAAGUGGUUUUAAUUUCAGGCGGUAAUUUUUCAUUUCUUCUGAUGAAUUAUGGUGACAUUGCUGUAACAGGACAUCCAGUGCAGGCUGGUUAUGACACAGUAAACUCCACACACUACUUUGUGAUUCCCGAAUCAGUCAAUGGCAGCUUCAUCUCAAACCUCAAGAACUCCAGUAAUGUCAAUGUUCUCGGUCGAUGGGUCUUCAGGGUGGACGGUGAACCAAGAAACAGCAUCUUGAACAACAAUGUUGUUGGAUUUCGAGUGAGACUUUCCUCAUUUUUAGACCUGACACGUAAUGGCAGCACUGAAAUAGUUUUGGAGCAAGUAUGUCACUCUUACUACGAAUAUUUAAACAGAAUACGGUUCAAAUAGACCACAUGGGCAAAUUUGUUCUGUUUGUCCAUCUGUGUUUCAGAUCAAGCAGGAGCUGGUCAAGUACGGUCUGCCAAACAACAUCGAACUGAAGUUAAGAAAACUGCAAAAGAUAAAGCCAUAAUUUCCUUCUCCUUCAGGAAGAGAAGUAAAACCAGUUUGUUUAGCAUUUGACAACAAAUAUCCCUGAUGACUGAUGAUGUAAAAGUUUCAGUUUUUCAUUAAGGUGAUUUACAAAGGAUUCAAACCAGCAUAAAAUUAUCAUAGAAGAGGUCCAUUAGAUCCUCCUUUUUUCCUUUUUUCUUUUUUCUUUGCAUAUCAAUCAUGUUGUGUGUAUCAGUUUAAACUUUACUGUAAGUAAAACACUUUUGUCUCAUUCACCUUCAUUAGAACCAUAACUUACAUAGGGUACAACUUAACUUAGGGUACAAUACUUAAACUGCAUAAUGUACAGUACAGUAUCAUUUGAAUGCAGUGUACAUCGCUUUGAAUUAAAGAAUCUGCCAAAUGCAUAAAUGUCAAAUUCUAUCUCACUUUUAACAUGGGCAUCUAAAUUUGUGGCUUAUCAAAAAAAAAUUUAAAAAAUGUUUAGUUUUUGUGUGUUCUGUUGACCUGUUCCCCUGUGACCUAGUUUUCCUUCAUUUCCUGAUUACCAUUCUGUUCACCUGUGUAUGAUUAUUUUACUCGUCAGCUCCUUAGUUUACUCCACUACUUAAACCCUCAGUUCUCUCUUAGCCUUUGUCCAUUCUUAUCUAUGUUAAGUUGGUACUUGUACUCUUUGUAUUUGGAUUUACUUAAUUAAAAGAAUUUUCUGUCAUCUCCAUCGUGAUCACUCCAUCUGCUUCACCA